rnacentral:rRNA from 1 species
GACUGUGCUAAGGUAGCAUAAUAAUUUGUCCCCUAAUUAGGGUCUAGAAUGAACGGUUAAACGAGAUUUUAUCUGUCUCCACAGAGAGACUUUGAACUUUAAAUUUAAGUGAAAAUGCUUAAAUGGUUCAGGAGGACGAGAAGACCCUAUAGAUUUUCAUAGUAAAAUCGCUAAUGAUCGCGGUAUUUAUUAUUUACCUGGGAAGGGGUCCAUAAAUCGAACUAUGAUUAAUUUACAAUCGGUAUGAUGAGAAUCAAGUCGAUCUGGAGAUCCGAAAUUUAGAUAAAUUACCUUAGGGAUAACAGCAUGA